rnacentral:rRNA from 3 species
AGUUAAAAUUAUAGCCAAACAAACCUAAACUACCAAAAAACAAAACAAACCAUUUAAUUUAAUAGUAUGGGCGAUAGAAAUUUAUUAUGAGCAAUAAAAAAAGUACCGUAAGGGAAAGAUGAAAUAAAAAUGAAAUAAAUAAUAAAAACAAAAAAAAGAAAAGGCUAAACCCUGUACCUUUUGCAUAAUGGUCUAGCAAGUCCAACCUAACAAAAAGAAAUAAAGUUAGCCACCCCGAAACUAGACGAGCUACUUAAGAGCAGCAUUAACCAGAGCCAACCCGUCUCUGUGGCAAAAGAGUGGGAUGACUUUUGAGUAGAGGUGAAAAGCCUAACGAGCCUAGUGAUAGCUGGUUACUUGAGAAAUGAAUAUUAGUUCAGCUUAAAGCAUCUUUAUUAUUAAAAAAUAAAAAUAGCACUUUAAAGUUAAUUAAUAGGGGUACAGCCCUAUUAAUAAAGGAUACAACCUACAUAAUGAAUAAAGAUUAUAUUAACAAAAGAAAUUAACCGCGUAGGCCUAAAAGCAGCCACCACAAGAAAGCGUCAAAGCUCAACUUAACAACCCCCCUUAUUAUACUAAUAAAAAAAUCUAAAUUCACAAAACAUAUCAAGCCCAUCUACUAGUAGAUAAGUUUAUACUAGAAUGAGUAACAAGAACAAAUUCUCUACAUGCAAGCGUAAAUCAGAACGAAAGCAUCACUGAUAAUUAACAACUUUAAACACCCAACAACAAGAAAAACACAUUAAAACAAUUGUUAACCCAACACAGGAGCAUAAAAAAAGAUUUAAAGAUUAAAAAGGAACUCGGCAACCAUAGAGCUCCGCCUGUUUACCAAAAACACCGCCUCUUGCCCUCCCAAUAUAAGAGGUCCCGCCUGCCCAGUGAUUAAUUUUAACGGCCGCGGUAUCAUGACCGUGCAAAGGUAGCGUAAUCACUUGUCUUUUAAAUAAAGACCUGUAUGAAAGGCAAAACGAAAGCUCAACUGUCUCUUUAAUCUAAUCAGU